rfam:Lingula anatina scaffold28, whole genome shotgun sequence.
CUCGCGAUAGCUCAGUUGGUAGAGCGGAGGACUGUAGUGGACGGAAUGAGAUAUCCUUAGGUCGCUGGUUCAAAUCCGGCUCGCGAGA